GUCACUUCUUGGCUUUUUGGCUAAGAUCAGGUGUCAUCUUUUCUUAUCAGUUUAAUAUCUGGUACACCCUCUAUCUGAGAAUGAUACAUUAAGUGGAUUUUCAGAGCAAGGAGAUGAAAUAGAUGCUUGUUCUGUAUACUCCAUGCAGCAAGCUGGGAUUGCCAUGCUUCCAGGAAAGGUACGCCCCCU